ACUCCUACGGGAGGCAGCAGUGGGGAAUAUUGCACAAUGGGGGAAACCCUGAUGCAGCAACGCCGCGUGAGUGAUGACGGUCUUCGGAUUGUAAAGCUCUGUCUUUAGGGACGAUAAUGACGGUACCUAAGGAGGAAGCCACGGCUAACUACGUGCCAGCAGCCGCGGUAAUACGUAGGUGGCAAGCGUUGUCCGGAUUUACUGGGCGUAAAGGGAGCGUAGGUGGAUAUUUAAGUGGGAUGUGAAAUACCCGGGCUUAACCUGGGUGCUGCAUUCCAAACUGGAUAUCUAGAGUGCAGGAGAGGAAAGGAGAAUUCCUAGUGUAGCGGUGAAAUGCGUAGAGAUUAGGAAGAAUACCAGUGGCGAAGGCGCCUUUCUGGACUGUAACUGACACUGAGGCUCGAAAGCGUGGGGAGCAAACAGGAUUAGAUACCCUGGUAGUC
rnacentral:rRNA from 1 species